CUUGUUCGUUCGGCUCGCGUCU
rnacentral:miRNA from 1 species